rnacentral:misc_RNA from 1 species
GAUGAAGAACGUAGCGAAAUGCGAUAAGUAGUGUGAAUUGCAGAAUUCAGUGAAUCAUCGAAUCUUUGAACGCACAUUGCGCCUCCUGGCAUUCCGGGAGGCAUGCCUGUUCGAGCGUCAUCAAACCCCAUCGUGCAAAUGAAUUAUUUUUUUUGCGCGGAAGUGACGAUUGAGCGAGAAUAACAAAUCCUCUCGCACCUCGUCGAAAUGAUUGCGGGCGGAAUUUGGGAUCGGGUUCCUCGGCGUAGUGCAUCAAUGCAUAUUUAUGCAACUUGCCGCGGAGUUGAGCCUGACCCACGCGUUCUCGCCGUACAAACACCUCAUUACUUUACAAGUUUUUGACCUCGGAUCAGGUAGGGAUACCCGCUGAACUUAAGCAUAUCAAUAAGCGGAGGA